GUACGUGGCACGGGGUGUCCCGCCCGGGACUGAGAACACACCCGUCGAACCUGCUCCAGUUCGUACUGGCGAAGGGAUGUCACCGGCAUGGAAU
rnacentral:ncRNA from 2 species